ACAAAGGAUAAAACCAUUUUUAACUAUCAUCCCGCCGAGAAAUGCAUUUUUGUCAAGCACACUCUCAUUUUUAAUAAACGUUCAAGAUUGAUCAUCUUUCUUGGCUCUGGUGGACGCGGCAUUUCUAUGCUUUCGCAGGAAGUUAGCUCAAGUCUGUCUGAAAUUUGGGGCUGUCCUGUUUACAUCACUUUUUUGGGGAUUUUAAAUAAAAAAUCUGCUUGAGUUGGGAGUUCUGAAAUAUUAUUGGC